CUAUUAAUCACUUGACGAUAAUGGAUUUGAGAAAUUUUCGAAUACAAGCACCCCAAAGAAGCUUGGGAUAGGCUUCAAACAUUCUACAAAGGAGGGGAGAAAGUUAAGAAGUUGUACCCAAACUUUAAGACGUGAGCUCGAAUCUCUAUAAAUGAAAGAAUCUAAUUCUAUUUUCGAAUAUUUUCUCUAGAGUACAGAGUGGUUAUGACAUCUAAGGUUCAGGCAUCUCAACUGUGGUAUGAGGUUCUAAUCCAAGAACAGAAUGUUGAAGGAGUUGCAUUUAUUAAUUACCAGAAUCAACUUUGCGAAGGAUGUUUACUAUGAAACAUUUUCGAAAGGGCUUUUCAAAAAAAGUGAGCCCAAGUGAAAAGAAGCUAAUAGAACUCAUUCGUAUCAAUGCAUGUAUGCCGAUCCAUCCGUCCUCUCUAGGAAAGAAAAACUAUUUCCUUCUGUUUAUUGGAAGGAUAGAGCGGAAGAAAGUUCGACAUCUUACUCUUGAAAGCUCCCAUGUGUAACAUUCCAAAAUUUAUUUUCUCAUGUAGGUCUUAAAUUUUGUUAAUUUAACUUUGAUCAUUAGCAAAUUAAUUGGUCUAUGCUUAGCCUUGUCAUUACACUAAAGUUCAUUAAAUAAAA
rnacentral:lncRNA from 1 species